rnacentral:lncRNA from 1 species
CGCCGGCCCUCGGCGGGUCUCGCGCUAUCUGCUGUGGCCAAUGGGACUCCCCGCAGUCUAGAGAGCCGCGUCGCUGGAGCGGUGGCGCAGCUUUUGGCUCGGAGAAUCCUGAGGAAAUUAAAUCAAAGCCUUAUGCUCUCCUAUAACUUCAUCCUUUUGAAAAAUUGGAACUACCAGAAUAGUUUCUACAUUGUGACAUGACCAUUGUGAUGGGUUGAGUUUCCACUUUUUGAAAGCUAAUGAAAAAAGUGUGCAUAAUUGGAGAAACAACCUGUGAGAAGGAAAAAAAUUUGCACAGCAAGGACAAGAUUGCUGUUGCUAAUCUAUAGUACAAACAGUAUGGCCUUCGGCUUCUGGGUGAACUGCAUCUGCACACUACUGCAGCCAUCAGCUCCUGGGUGAAAUGCAUCUGCACACUACUGCAGCCAUCAGUUCCUAGAUGAAAUGCAUCUGCACUUUACUGCAUUUAUCAGCUCCUGGGUGAAAUGCAUCUGCACUUUACUGCAGCCAUCAGCUCCUGGGUGAAAUGCAUCUGCACAUUACUGCAGCCAUCAGCUCCUGGGUGAAAUGCAUCUGUACUUUACUGCAGCUAUCAGCUCCUGGGUGAAAUGCAUCUGUACUUUACUGCAGCCAUCAGCUCCUGGGUGAAAUGCAUUUGCACUUUACUGCAGCCAUCAGCUCCUAGAUGAAAUGCAUCUGCACACUACUGCAGCCAUCACUUGGCACUGUCAGUGUUUGGUUUUUUGUUUUUUUAUUUCUGCUGUUACAGGAGAGAUAGAGUGGCAUCUUACAGUGGACUUAAUCUACAUUUCUCUUCCAAUGAUGAUUCUUUUCUCUAAUGAAGAAAUGAGAACCUGUAUUUGCUUCUCUAUAGAUACUUACAACAAUUUUGUUUGUCACCACCACCAAAACUGGAAUCAACUCAGGUCAAUUGGACAAUACAGUUUCAAAAGCUCCAACUUAUGAACAAAACUAACUUGGGACCUCUGUUUUAAUCCAGAAAAAUAUGUAAAUAUAUAAAAAUUAUCACAUAAGAAUAAAAAUUCAUACAUUAGAUUACAUUGUGAAAAGAUGCUUUAGAAAUGUGGCCACAAAGAAGAUUAAAAUGGUAAUCUUAAGUAUUUUAGCUCAGAGAAAUUGUAGUAAAGGUGAAAUCUUUUUUGUUGUUGUGCUCUGAUUUGUAUGUUUUGUAGCUGAGGCUGGCUGGAUGUGAUUCUCCUGGCUAUCUCCAUAAUGCUAGAACUACACGUGUGAGCUACUAUGUCUCGUUUAAGUUUAAAUCUUUUAAAGAAACAGUAAAGCAGAAAAAAGGGGAUCUCAGAAGUAAUAUAGCUACACCUUACCAGAAUAACAAGUGAGGGCUGAUGGAACUCAUGGAGUGUUUGAGAAAAGGAGGCAUUUUUAGUGACAAAUUAGAAAAUGGAAAAUACGAACCACAGAUGGCACAAUAAGAGAAAAAGGAGAAAUAAGAACUCAAUAUCUUUUUAAAAGCUUGCGGCAUGGUAGUGCAGACCUUUAAUCCCAAAGCCUGGAGGCAGAGGCAGGCGGAUCUCUCUGUGAGUUCCAAACAAGUCAGGGACAUAUUCUUAAAAAAAAAAAAAAGACAGGAGAGGCAGCCAAAUAGUUUUUCUCAUGUGAACUGAAGUUCAAUGGUGGUUGUAUAACAUUGUACUUAAUGCCAGUAGAUUGAAAGCUUAAAAAUGGCCUAAAUGGUAAACUUUGUGCUCAUUUUGUCAUAAUAAACCCUGUAAAGUAAAGCAUUGAACUACAACAACUGUCAAGCUACAGUUCCUGAACACUCAACACUAAAGAAGGAUAAAGGCUGGCUCUGCUGAAAGGCACCCCAAGAUCUGGAACUCAGCCCAGAGCACUUAAUACUGAGAUGUAGUAUUGUAAAAAUGGUUGGAUUUUAAAAUCAUGGAAAAAAAAAAAAAGCUCAAGUGGAUUGGAAAAAUAGCACAUGGAUUUGAUGUUUUGGGCAGCUACAUUUCAUUCUAGAUAAUAAAGCAACAGUUUAAAAAACUAUUAAAUGAAAUGCAAUUAUUCAUAUCACCAGACUGUCCUUUAAGAACUUGAGGACAUUGCUAUGUAUGGUGGCAUGCCUAUAAUCUUAGCACUUAGGAGCCUGAGGUAGAUGGAUCAGAGUUCAAGGUCAUCCUCUAUUAAAUAGUAAGUUCCUGGUCAACGUGGUCUACCAAAAGGUUCAGUCACAAAACAAUUUAAGGAUUAUUGUUUCAGUGCUUCCUGAAGGAAUAUACUAGUGAAAAAAUUUCAAACAGUAAAUGAUUCAGGAAAUGUUCAACAUAAAAUCAAGUUGUAAACAUUAAAUAUAUUGUAAUGAUGGGAAUAAUGGUUUUAGAGUUAUGCUAUCUGACAAUGUAGAAAAAAUAUGACCCACUGUCAGGAAGUCUGUUUUAGAGGAAAUAAAGGUACUGCCCCCGAG